rnacentral:lncRNA from 12 species
AAAUAAUUUAAAAACACAUAUCUUCUUUCUAUCUAUUCUAAUUUUUUUCUUAAAAAAGUUAGAAUAACAAACCAACACUAGCUUUUCUAAUCUUUUUGUAUUUCUAUCUGUUUUCUUUUUACUACGUGCACUGCAUUAAGCUAACUGAGACUUGUUAUAGCACUUUGGAUAAAAACGCCUGCUAAAUGACUAAAUGUAAAUGAUAUGUAAAUGUAAAGAACUGAACUUUCCAAAGCUACAUAUAAGACAGAGGUAGCCUAAGUUUGUGUGACAUUGAAACAGCUAUGCCGCUAAUCAUAGCUUUGAAGUUGCUUACUGUCUACUGUUAUGAUGUUGUAAUCUACUGUAAUAAUGUAAAGGACGUCAUGGUCAUCGUGGUCUAUAAAUGUCUCCAUAGCAUGCAGAAACCAACAGAUCACAAAAAAUGCUACUUUGGAUUAAAUAAUCACUAAAAUGACAUGAUGUGGGACAUCUCCCUUGAGGUCAUUUGACUGAUGCUGUGUUUGACUUUCUGCAGAGACAGUCCAGGAGGAGAAGAUUCUUCAGCUGGCUCAAGCGGUUCAGGAGCAGGCCAUUGAGGUCCAGCAGCACUGGGAGCGGUUCAGUGCUCAGGCCGCCAGCUGGCAGCACGAGAUUGACUGGGCUCUGGGGAAACUUCAGGAUCUCCAACAUGCCAUGAACCAACUGGACCUCGGCCUGGCUGAGAUGGAGAAGGAGAGCUUGCACUCUGAGGAACACAGCAUGGUCAACUGUGUGCUGGAGCACGUGGAAAAUAUCGGGAUUGUGGGUAAUCAGCACCGGCAGUUGCAAUGCUCUCAAACAGAUAAGAGACAUUUCUCCCAUGACCUCUUGUCUGGUAAGUUGGAUAAACAUUUUUAAGCAUUUUUUCAGUACUCCCAUAGUCAUGGAAAACCUUUUUAACUCUAAAAUGGUGAAUUUUUUUAUUUAUUUAUUUUUUUUAGGCCUGGAACACUUAUGUGAAUUAAUAAAAAGUACCUGAAAAGUAAUUUCUGUAGUGAAUGGGUGUACACUACCAUUCAAAAGUUUGGGUUCAGUUAGACUUUACUUUUUAAUGUCUUUAACACUUUUUUUUUUAGCAAGAAUGCAUUUAAUUGAUUAAAAGUGACAGUAAAGAUAUUUAUAAUGUUACUAAAGAUUUUAAAAGAUUUUCAAAUAAAUGCUGUUCUUUUGAACUUUCUAUUCAUGAAAGAAUCCUGAAAAAAAUGUAUCCUGAUAAAAAUAUUGAUAAUAAUCAGAAAUGUUUCUAGAGCAGAAUGAUUUCUGAAUGAUCAUGUGACACUGAAGACUGCAGCAAUGAUGCUGAAAAUUCGGCUUUGCAUCACAGGAAUAAAUUACAAUACAAAAGAAAAAGUUAUUUUAAAUUGUAAUGAUAUUUCAUAAUGUUGUACGUUUUAUUGUAUUUCUGUUUUUUUUAUCAAAUAAAUGCAGCAUAACAUUCAAAAAUAUUAUAAAAUCUUCAACCCCAAGCUUUUGAAUGGUAAUGCAAAUAUUUUAGUUAUACUCAACUCUAGGAUAUUCACCGGCUGGCUAGAAAUUGCUAUUUUUAAA